CCAAAAUGAUGUUAAACCUUUUCCCUGAAUCACCAUGUGGGUGAAAAAAUUCGAGCUUUUUAACACUGAUUGGU